rnacentral:rRNA from 1 species
UACAGAGGUCUCAAGCGUUGUUCGGAUUCAUUGGGCGUAAAGGGUGCGUAGGCGGCUGCUCAAGUCGAAUGUGAAAACUCGAGGCUCAACCUCGAGCCUGCAUUCGAUACUGGGCGGCUAGAGUCUGGUAGGGGGAUCUGGAAUUCCUGGUGUAGCGGUGGAAUGCGCAGAUAUCAGGAGGAACACCGGUGGCGAAGGCGGGAUCCUGGGCCAGUACUGACGCUGAGGAGCGAAAGCGUGGGGAGCAAACAGG